rnacentral:misc_RNA from 1 species
AAUAAAAUUUCUAAGAAAUAAUUUUGCAAGGGUCAUGACUUGAGUGCCCAAAUAUUAAUAAAAUAUAAAAUCGAGUGCAUUUUAUUGCCUACCGUAUAAAUUCUAUUGUAAAUUAAAACAUAAAUAAAUAUAUAAAACCUAACCACGUUGUUCAAUUCCAUAUUGAUUAGACACAUGAGAUGAAUCCAUAUACUUGGAUGCUAUUUUGUUUGCUAUUUUGAUUAGAUUUUUUAUAUCAAGUUUAUAUUUCUCAUCUCUGCCAAAUCUGCCGAAAAAUCAUUUGGGAUAUCUUCGAAAUGAUCUACUGUGUAAGUCACCUG